AUUGAACGCUGGCGGCAGGCUUAGCACAUGCAAGUCGAGCGGAGACUUCGGUCUUAGCGGCGAACGGGUGAGUAAUACCUAGGAAUCUGCCUAUUAUGGGGGAUAACGAAUCGAAAGGUUCGCUAAUACCGCAUACGUCCUACGGGANAAAGGGGGGGGAUCUUCGGACCUCUCGCUAAUAGAUGAGCCUAGGCCGGAUUAGCUAGUUGGUAGGGUAAAGGCCUACCAAGGCGACGAUCUGUAGCUGGUCUGAGAGGAUGGCCAGCCACACUGGAACUGAGACACGGUCCAGACUCCUACGGGAAGCAGCAGUGGGGAAUAUUGGACAAUGGGGGCAACCCUGAUCCAGCCAUGCCGCGUGUGUGAAGAAGGCCUUCGGGUUGUAAAGCACUUUAAGCGAGGAGGAAGGUUUUUAGUUUAAUACACUAAAGAAUUGACGUUACUCGCAGAAUAAGCACCGGCUAACUCUGUG
rnacentral:rRNA from 1 species